ACUCCUACGGGAGGCAGCAGUAAGGAAUAUUGGUCAAUGGACGCAAGUCUGAACCAGCCAUGCCGCGUGGAGGAUGAAGGUCCUCUGGAUUGUAAACUUCUUUUAUAUGGGGCGAAAAAGGGUCUUUCUAGAUCAACUGACGGUACCAUAUGAAUAAGCACCGGCUAACUCCGUGCCAGCAGCCGCGGUAAU
rnacentral:rRNA from 1 species